rnacentral:lncRNA from 10 species
CUCUCGCCUGGCUGGCCGUGGGGGGCCUGGACGCAGUGGCCUCCCGAAUCUCCCAGGACCCUAAUAUCGCCCGAGGAUGCUGGGAGGAACGCUGAGCCGACCUCUCCGUUAGGCUGAAGAUUGCACAAACCAUGCUAAUGGCCAGCAUGGAUGGAGGGAGCGUGUGAGAUGUGUGGGGCAGCGUGCUGCAUCUCAGCCAACUCCAGGAGCCAGUUGAUGUGAUGGACUACCUUAAUUGAUUUUUGAAUGUUGAGCCAGCCUUAUGCAUGUGGGAUAAACCCCUGUUGAUCAUGGACAUUUUUAAAUUCUAGGUAUAGAGCAAUAAAAGAAGAAUUCAAGCAAAGGGAUCAGGAAGAGGAUUGCUACUAAGAGGCAGAGAAACCAAUGAAGCCUUUUGCCAUCUCACACUGGAAAGACAAAAAGUCAUAGAGGCUUGAUUUUUAUAAGGAAAGAGAAGUGAGAAACUGACCUCGAUACUUUGUUGGACUUGCCUAAAGACAUUUGCUGAAUUCUCGGGCUGUGCUGGGAUGGAGAUUAGAGGCCAAAUAAAAACCUCUGGUAAGUAGUG